rnacentral:rRNA from 1 species
UGGGGAAUAUUGGACAAUGGGCGCAAGCCUGAUCCAGCCAUGCCGCGUGAGUGACGAAGGCCUUAGGGUUGUAAAGCUCUUUUGGCGGGGAAGAUAAUGACGGUACCCGCAGAAUAAGCUCCGGCUAACUACGUGCCAGCAGCCGCGGUAAUACGUAGGGACCAAGCGUUGUUCGGAUUUACUGGGCGUAAAGCGCGUAGGCGGUUUGUCAAGUCAGUUGUGAAAUCUCCGAGCUUAACUCGGAACGGUCAACUGAUACUGUCAAACUAGAGUACAGAAGGGGCAAUCGGAAUUCUUGGUGUAGCGGUGAAAUGCGUAGAUAUCAAGAGGAACACCUGAGGCGAAGGCGGGUUGCUGGGCUGAUACUGACGCUGAAGCGCGAAAGCUAGGGUAGCAAACGGGAUUAGAUACCCAUGUAGUCCCUGAGCGGGCUGGCAAGGCGCAU